CCUACGGGUGGCAGCAGUCGAGAAUCAUUCACAAUGGGGGAAACCCUGAUGGUGCGACGCCGCGUGGGGGAAUGAAGGUCUUCGGAUUGUAAACCCCUGUCAUGUGGGAGCAAAUUAAAAAGAUAGUACCACAAGAGGAAGAGACGGCUAACUCUGUGCCAGCAGCCGCGGUAAUACAGAGGUCUCAAGCGUUGUUCGGAAUCACUGGGCGUAAAGCGUGCGUAGGCUGUUUCGUAAGUCGUGUGUGAAAGGCGCGGGCUCAACCCGCGGACGGCACAUGAUACUGCGGGACUAGAGUAAGGGAGGGGGAACCGGAAUUCUCGGUGUAGCAGUGAAAUGCGUAGAUAUCGAGAGGAACACUCGUGGCGAAGGCGGGUUCCUGGACAUUAACUGACGCUGAGGCACGAAGGCCAGGGGAGCGAAAGGGAUUAGAUACCCUUGUAGUC
rnacentral:rRNA from 1 species